UGCAAGUCGAACGAUGAAGCCCUUCGGGGUGGAUUAGUGGCGAACGGGUGAGUAACACGUGGGCAAUCUGCCCUUCACUCUGGGACAAGCCCUGGAAACGGGGUCUAAUACCGGAUAACACUUCUUCGGGCAUCUGAAGAGGUUAAAAGCUCCGGCGGUGAAGGAUGAGCCCGCGGCCUAUCAGCUUGUUGGUGGGGUAAUGGCCUACCAAGGCGACGACGGGUAGCCGGCCUGAGAGGGCGACCGGCCACACUGGGACUGAGACACGGCCCAGACUCCUACGGGAGGCAGCAGUGGGGAAUAUUGCACAAUGGGCGAAAGCCUGAUGCAGCGACGCCGCGUGAGGGAUGACGGCCUUCGGGUUGUAAACCUCUUUCAGCAGGGAAGAAGCGAAAGUGACGGUACCUGCAGAAGAAGCGCCGGCUAACUACGUGCCAGCAGCCGCGGUAAUACGUAGGGCGCAAGCGUUGUCCGGAAUUAUUGGGCGUAAAGAGCUCGUAGGCGGCUUGUCACGUCGGAUGUGAAAGCCCGGGGCUUAACCCCGGGUCUGCAUUCGAUACGGGCAGGCUAGAGUGUGGUAGGGGAGAUCGGAAUUCCUGGUGUAGCGGUGAAAUGCGCAGAUAUCAGGAGGAACACCGGUGGCGAAGGCGGAUCUCUGGGCCAUUACUGACGCUGAGGAGCGAAAGCGUGGGGAGCGAACAGGAUUAGAUACCCUGGUAGUCCACGCCGUAAACGUUGGGAACUAGGUGUUGGCGACAUUCCACGUCGUCGGUGCCGCAGCUAACGCAUUAAGUUCCCCGCCUGGGGGAGUACGGCCGCAAGGCUAAAACUCAAAG
rnacentral:rRNA from 1 species